rnacentral:rRNA from 1 species
CCUUGACAUCCAGAGAACUUAGCAGAGAUGCUUUGGUGCCUUCGGGAACUCUGAGACAGGUGCUGCAUGGCUGUCGUCAGCUCGUGUUGUGAAAUGUUGGGUUAAGUCCCGCAACGAGCGCAACCCUUAUCCUUUGUUGCCAGCGGUUCGGCCGGGAACUCAAAGGAGACUGCCGGUGAUAAACCGGAGGAAGGUGGGGAUGACGUCAAGUCAUCAUGGCCCUUACGGCCAGGGCUACACACGUGCUACAAUGGCGCAUACAAAGAGAAGCGACCUCGCGAGAGCAAGCGGACCUCAUAAAGUGCGUCGUAGUCCGGAUUGGAGUCUGCAACUCGACUCCAUGAAGUCGGAAUCGCUAGUAAUCGUAGAUCAGAAUGCUACGGUGAAUACGUUCCCGGGCCUUGUACACACCGCCCGUCACACCAUGGGAGUGGGUUGCAAAAGAAGUAGGUAGCUUAACCUUCGGGAGGGCGCUUACCACUUUGUGAUUCAUGACUGGGGUGAAGUCGUAACAAGGUAGGCGUAGACGU